AGACGGAAAGUGCUACCAAAGAGUUUGAUGUUGUCAGGUGUUUUAAAAACAGUCUUCUAGUGGCAAGUAAUGGAAUUGCUCAUGCACAGGAGGUGGAGAAGCUGGUGUGCUGCUCAGCCUAAAGGGAAAGAAAGUUUGCUUUCAUCAAUACUUUCAACAGGUCACUCAUAUGAAAGUGGAACCAGUGGAAGAGAUCAACUGAGGAGCUCCUGGGGUCCUCCCCAGCUCUCACUCUGCACCCUGGUGGAGGUGACGUGCAGCAGAGACAUUUCCUUGCAGACAGGAGCUCUGCCUGCAGCACACACAACCUUUCUACGUGGGAGGCUUGAGCACAGGUCCCUUUAUCAGGCACCUGACUCCUUUUUGUGACUUGCCUUCUGCAAUAUGGGCAGCCAAGCAUUGAGGCGACAUCUUUAUUUUCUUCUUGGACUUGCCCUCAGA